UUUUACUGAGAUUUUUUUUUACUGAUCUGCUUUCCCCUUUGGCAAAUGUUACUUACUGUAAAGUUCUGCAAAGCUGACAUCUUUGUUCUGGAAGGCUCAGAGAAGCAAAGUGCACAGACAUUUGGCGUAAUACAGAGAGACAGGGAAGUUGCUGCCAAAACCCAGAGGUGCAGAGUGAUGCGUUCAAACCCUGACUCCUGCUGAGAGACACAGAGAGCGAGAGGAUUAAAGAAAGAGAGUGAAAAAGUGGGGUUGAUUCCUUGUGUUCAGCUGAAUGAACACGAUUCACUCUAAAUGAUGGCGAGAUGCAGAGAAAAGAGGGGUGAUGGAGUACGAGGAGUGAAACUAGUUUACAGGAAGCUGGAGUUCUCAUCUGGAGAACCAGAGCUGCUCAUUCCAGACAUAACUAAGCACUAUGAUGUAUACACCGUCUGUGCUGGGUUGCACAAUGUCGAGGAGAGGGGACGGCAUAACCUGGGUCAACUGUUAGUCAGCAAAAGUACGUAACCCCGCCGGUGUCUGCUGUAAUGCCAAGUUCACUUCCGAGCUGCAGAGAGGAGAGAAAGUUUGCAGGGAGUUUUCUGCAGCCUCCGUCUCUACUAGAAAGAACAGAAUGAAGAGGAAAUAAAUGAAUGAAUAAAAGAAA